GACGAACGCUGGCGGCGUGCUUAACACAUGCAAGUCGAACGGAAAGGCCCCUUUUUUGGUACUCGAGUGGCGAACGGGUGCGUAACACGUUAGUAACCUGCCCUUGACUUCGUGAUAACUUCAGGAAACUGGGGCUAGUACCGGAUAGGAAUCCUUUCUGCAUUGUGGGGGUUGGAAAGCUUCGGCGGUUUUGGCUGGACUCGCGGCUUAUCAGCUUGUUGGUGGGGUAGUGGCUUACCAAGGCUUUGGCGGGUAGCCGGCCUGAGAGGGCGACCGGCCACAUUGGGACUGAGAUACGGCCCAGACUCCGACGGGAGGCAGCAGUGGGGAAGAUUGCACAAGGGGCGGAGGGAGGAUGCAGCAACGCCGCGUGCGGGAUGACGGCCUUCGGGGUGUAAACCGCUUUCAGCAGGGGCGAAGCUUGUGGUGAAGGUACCUGCAGAAGAAGCAGCGGAUAACUACG
rnacentral:rRNA from 1 species